rnacentral:rRNA from 1 species
CCUACAGGAGGCAGCAGUGGGGAAUAUUGCACAAUGGGGGAAAGCCUGAUGCAGCAACGCCGCGUGAGUGAAGAAGUACUUCGGUAUGUAAAGCUCUAUUAGCAGGGAAGAAAAUGAUGGUACUUGACUAAGAAGCCCCUGCCAACGACGUGCCAGCAGCCGCGGUAAUACGUAGGGGCCAAGCGGUAUCCGGAGUUACUGGGGGUAAAGGGAUCGGAGACGGACAGACAAGUCGGAAGUGAAAGCCCAGGGCUCAAUCCUGGGACUGCAUUUGAGACUGCCGGGCUGGAGUGCAGAGGAGGUAAGCGGAAUUCCUGGUGUAGCGGUGAAAUGCGUAGAUAUAAGGAGGAACACCAGUGGCGAAGGCGGCUUACUGGACUGUAACUGACGUUGAGGCGCGAAAGCGUGGGGAUCAAACAGGAUUAGAUACCCUAGUAGUC